AGUGAACGCUGGCGGUAGGCCUAACACAUGCAAGUCGAACGGCAGCACAGAGGAGCUUGCUCCUUGGGUGGCGAGUGGCGGACGGGUGAGGAAUACAUCGGAAUCUACUCUGUCGUGGGGGAUAACGUAGGGAAACUUACGCUAAUACCGCAUACGACCUACGGGUGAAAGCAGGGGACCUUCGGGCCUUGCGCGAUUGAAUGAGCCGAUGUCGGAUUAGCUAGUUGGCGGGGUAAAGGCCCACCAAGGCGACGAUCCGUAGCUGGUCUGAGAGGAUGAUCAGCCACACUGGAACUGAGACACGGUCCAGACUCCUACGGGAGGCAGCAGUGGGGAAUAUUGGACAAUGGGCGCAAGCCUGAUCCGGCCAUACCGCGUGGGUGAAGAAGGCCUUCGGGUUGUAAGGCCCUUUUGUUGGGAAAGAAAUCCAGCUGGCUAAUACCCGGUUGGGAUGACGGUACCCAAAGAAUAAGCACCGGCUAACUUCGUGCCAGCCGCCGCAGUAA
rnacentral:rRNA from 1 species